CAAGCCAACUCACUAUCAUGUUCUAUGGGAUGAUAAUGGUUUCAAUUCUGACCGCUUACAGAAGCUUAUAUACAACAUGUGCUUCACUUUUGCACGGUGCACUAAACCGGUUUCACUUGUUCCACCAGUUUACUAUGCAGACCUUGUUGCUUACAGGGGACGGAUGUUCCAAGAGGUGCUUAUGGAGAUGAACUCUCCUAGGUCUACAACUUCAUCUUCUCCAACUGCCUCAUUUCAACAAAGAUUUUAUGAUUUGCACCCUGAUUUGCAGGACAUAAUGUUUUUCGUCUGAUGGCAGACCCGUCAACUUUUUGUUCUCCUUCACCAUUAAUUCCCACUGGGGAGGAGAUGGUUGUCUACAUUUUGGAGAUGCCCAUUUCCAAACGCAUUUGAACCUCCUUUCCGUCGGACAUAGCAAAGGUGUUUGUGCGUGAAUCUAAUGGGGUUUCAUGCUUCUUUUAUUUUCUAUUGUGUGAGUUUAAUCAUUGAUGUCUUAAUGGUUUGGCGUUUGAUUGUGUUUUAUUUACUUUGGGGGAGGCCACUCCCAAGUAUGUCUGCUUAAAUUGUGUGUUUUGUAUUAUGUAUUCUGAGACAAGUUGAAUUUCGUCUUAAUAUAUUUGUGUUUGAGGUAUUUGAUGUCUCUCUUUCAGUUAUUCAAUGUGAUUGCAUUUUCUCACUUCCGUGUUUUUUCCUCAUGGAGCUAACUAAUGGGAAAAUAGACUUGAGGGACCUUAAUAUAUUCAAGUUAAAAACUAGAAAGACUCGCUCCAAAAAUAUAGGAAACAAAAAUACUUUGAAAUACUAGUAUAAGGAUUGCUAAGGAGUUUUAAACUUGAGAUUAACUCGUAUCCACUAAUCAAGGAUAAUAAAAUUACACGAUCAAUGUACUUUUAUAAAUAUUGUUAAGUAUUUUUAUAUAUUAUUAAUAUUGAAAUAAAAAUAACAUAAAAGAGUAUUAUAGAGAAACUUAGUAGUUGAUUGUUUAGGAUUCUUGGCUUAUAAAAAAUAAGAUGGACUUCUUUUACGUCGUCAUUAUUGGUCACACUUGUCUUCAUUACCAUUGAAGCAAAUGAGGAGAAGAACAAAACGACAAAACAAUAUCAGAGAGAAAAGGAGAAAGAGAUGAGUGAUUCACUACGUUAAAGAGAAGACGAAGUGCAGAGGGGAGAUUCAAAUAAAUCUGACAACCUAGAAAUGAAUCUAAUCUAAUCUCAUGAGGAACAAAACAUCAUUCCCUAUAAAAAGUGAAAAUGCCACAUCAUAUGCUCUUUUAUUCUAACUAAUAAAAUUGUCCCCUUCUUUAUAUUAAUUGAAUCUUUAAUAUAUGUAAUUCUUUUUAAAUAUAAUAUAACAUUUUAAAAAAUAUAUCAUUUAAUAUACAUUACUUUCAUCUCGCUCGCCUCUCUUACAUCGCGUUCACCACUCUUCUAUGUUUCUGAAUGCAAAUCACACCAGAUACAUGUGUAUAGUGUAUAUCUACCGUGAUUCGCAUGUACCUGGAAUACAUAACAAAAUCUCGCUUGCUUCCCUCGCCAUCUCGCUCAUUUCUCUCCUUAUUUUUGUGUAUCUGGUAGCAAAAAUACAUGUAUGUAAGUGUAUGUUUCUCAGCAUAUGGUAGAAAAUUCUUAAUUAGUAGUAAUAUACACAAUAUUUUGAAAGUAUAGAUAAUAAUAAUAUAUAUGAUAGUGAAGUACGUCUAAUUAUGUAAUUUUUGUCCGAAAUAUCCUCAAAUAACUUCCAAAAACAAGGCAAAGAGGUUUUAUAGUCUUAAAAACAAGGUAAGUCACCUUAGAUUAUUUGGACAAAUAAGGUAAGUUGCCUUAGAAGUUUUGGCCAAAUUAGAUUUAUUCAUUUCCUAUUUUUUGUUGAUUCUCUCUUAUACAAUUUUAUUCUAUUGGAUUGUCUUUAAUAUUUUUAUAACAAUGCGUAAUUCUGAUAGAUAAAUAUGCCAUAUUUACCAACAAGGAUCGUAGUAUAUGGAAAAGACCUUUUCAUUUUUAUCUAAAGAUUUCAAUUUAAUUUUUAAAUAUGAAAAAAUCUCAUAACGUAAAUUCAGAUAGUCAAAGCCUCGAUAAGAACACUAAGCAUCACGUGAAAAAUAAAAAAAAUUCAAAUUCAAUGAAUCAAAAUAGAUAAUAUAUUGACAAUAUCAUUAACUUGUAAUGUAAUUAAUAUGGAAGAAAAGUGAACAUACCUAAUAGAAAUAUGAAUAAAAUUCUUACCCGAAUUAAUAUGGAAAGAACUUACAAUGCGAAUCCGGAUAGUUAAAACCUCGAUAAAAACAUCUAAUAUCCUAUGAAAAAUAAGAAAUGUCGAAUUCCAUGAAUCAAAUCAAAUAAUAUACCAAUACUAUCAUGAACUUGAGACAAUAUCAUCAUGCAUGAACUUGAAAUAUAAUUCAUAUGAAAGAAAAGUGAACAUAUCCUAUUAGGAAUAUGAAUUAAAUUCUUGUUUGAAUUAAUAUGGAAAGAAACUUGAAAUACAUCCUAUUUACAGUAUGAAUCAAAAUCAGGAUGGAUUGUGGUGCAGUAAUGAAGCUACUCACUCUUCACCAAAGAUUUCGAGUUUGAGCUUUGAAUAAAAAAUAAUAUGUUAGGACUAUUAAAAGCCGAGUGAGAAAUAAAAAAAAUAGAAAGAAUAAAAGAUCUCUCCGUAUAGAUAGAAAAUUAAUAUGGUAUAAUUUUAAUUGCAAUGAAAAGCAGAUGCUCUUCCACUCUAUAAAUAGUCACCCCAUGAACUCUAUGUAUUUAGAGGAAAUUUUUACUUUACAAACAAUCAAAAAAUCAAAAUCAGCACGGACAAGCAAUUAAGAAAAUCAAAAACUACUCUUCAGGUACUUAAAACUUUUAUUUCAUAUUUAGUCCAAGUAAAUAUAAGUACAAGUAAAACAUUUUUGAAAGCUUUUAUAUUUUUCAUUACAUGUUUUUUCUUUUUCACUUAUCAAUUUUUUUCCUCCGUUUCAUAAGAAAUACAAAUUGCAAAGUCAACAAAUGAAUAAAUCAAGUAUAUAUCAUUUAAGAUGGUGUAAUCUCCCCUAACACUGGUGAUCAUUUUGAAGUUUUGACAUUAUUAUUAUAUAUAUAAAAAAAAUAUUUGGAAUAAACUUUGAAGUAAAGUAACUGGGAAGAAUUAGUACAUCAUAAUUAAAGCAAAUAUUUUAAUUGUUUUAACCUUUAAGUAACUGAGAUAUGUACUUUUGAUCCAUCUAAUUUUUAAUCAUAAAUUUUUUUACUGAAAUAAUAAUUAUUAAACAAUUUAAUUAACCCAUAAUAUGUCAAGUUAUUCCUACUCCACACUUGAUGAUAAUAAUGUUUUUUAAAAAGCUAAAUAUAUAAUAUAUUCAAUGUAAACGUAUUAAAACACAUACUUUUUUUUAAUUAAUCAAAAUUAAAUUUCCUUAGCAAAAGAAUUAAAAAAAAAGAGAUUAAAAUAUUAGUUUUGCAAUAACUUAGGGAUCCCAAGUGCAAUUAUCCCUUUUUAUUAUAGUGAGCAGUUCUUCAUAUGGUUUGAACUAUCAAAAGUUUUAUAAAAAUCAUAAAUUAUAAUUUCUAAUUUAUAGCUUUAUCUUAUAAGACAUAACGCAAAAGUCAAUCUAAACAUGAUCAUUCCUUAUUUCGACAAGACCCCAAAGUCUUUACCAUUUACACCUUUUUCUUCGAUUUAUUCGUUCCCUAAGUAAAGCCCUUUUCCGUCAUUUAACUUUGCUUAGCGUGUACUCUAUAAUAUAUGCUCUUCAGUCCAGUUUUUAUAAGCUCCACAACUAGAUUCUCCUACUUCACUCUCAAGUUAACGAAAACUGAAGCUUAAUAUAUUGAUAGCCCCUUAAAUUUGUGAGUAAAUAUUUAUUAAGACACUUAUAUUAUGGUAUGUUUCAAUUAAUUAAUAUUCAAACACAUGAUAAAGUGUUUAUAUUAGAUAUUUUUAAUAACUCAUAUUUUGGACGUGUCCAUUAUGUUGAUAAGUUAAUGACAUAAAACUGCCUCAUGGCAAUUUAUACACAUCAGCAUCAUUUGGAACAUGCAUGAAGUUUUCCUCCUUAUUGAGGUUAAUGCAUACAAUUAAAGGAGACGACAUAUUUUAAAUUGUUAGCUUAUCUAUGUAAAGAACGCUUGAGAACAAGCAUAAUGGUUUCCUAAAAUAAUAAGAGAUUUUUAUCAUAUUUAGAUGUUCAAUCAGGACAUGCCAUAAUUCGAGUGUCUUGAGAGAAAUUUAAUGGCAAGUUUAAGAGGUUGUCGAUGUAUUCUGCCAAAAUUAAAAGAAUUUAUAGUUGCUAACUUUCUCUUAGUGAAGUUACAAAAUGGACCGUGGGAACUACCAAUGUGGUGGCAGCGAUAACACCGGCAGGGGUGAGCACCAGAUAGGAGGUGGAAUUCAGCAGCAGCAGGUUGUGGAUGGUCCUCCUCAAUCUUCUGGUAUUAACUCAUACCUUGCUUUCUUGUUAUUAUUAUUAUUAUUAUUAUUUUGUUAGUAUUAUUAUAAUCUAUUUUCUUUAUAUCUUACUAAUUGUCUACUGCAAGUUAAUAUAUAUGUGGAUAGUCAUGCAAGCUUUAAACCGUGUUGUCUGCUUUAAGUAUGCUUUUAUUUGACAUUGAACUGAAUCAAGAUAUUGAAACAGAAAUAGAAAUUGUUUUAUUUGCGUGUCUCAGGUAAUUUUUUAUAAAUUCGUUAGAACAAUAAAAAUUCUAUGGAAACAUACCUGUAGUGAGUAAUAUAAUGCAACAAAUAAGUCUUUUAAAAUGUGACAAGAAAUACCAAAUGAAAUGUUUAGAAUAAUUCUUUUUAAGCAAGUUAUUGUAAAUUUAAUGAUUUAGUUGGUUGACUACUUGAACUUACAUCUUGUUGGUGAGGAGGGCUUGAUUUCUCACCCUUUAAUUUGAAUAUAAUAAAUACAAUGUCUUGAAAAAUCUAAUAGGAAAAUAAAUCAAAUAAGUAUAAUUAAUGAUACAGAUAAAUUAGAAACUAAGUGUAAAAUUAUCCAUUGAUUUCAUAAAGUGGACAAAGUAUUGUUGGACAUUCCAAAAUAAUAUAGUGGACAACUAUUGUUGAACGGUGAGAAUAGUAAAACAAAGAUAUAAGUGCUUCACUAUUUUAAAUAUAGCUAGAAUGAAUAGGACAACGUUCUGUAGGGCAUUCAUUCAUCGAACUAAAAAUAUCAAUUUAUAUGGAUAAAGAUGGAGUAAUAUCCAAAAAUAUCUUAAAGUUUUAAAUUAAAUAGUUAGAGAUUAUGAAUUUGAAAAGCAUGAGAGCUCUGAAUGUUUAAGAACAAUAAUUUUGAAUAGCUAAUUAGAUAGUAUUAAUUAUGAGAGUAAAUAUUUGAAACAAACAAAGGAGAAAAAUACUAGAUAAAUUCAUUCUUUUAGAAGAAUAUUUUGUAAAGGAGAAAGUGAAAAUGUAACAUGUUCUAUUUUCUAUCUAAUCGGUCACUGGCACAAAUUAAGAUGAUCCCAUAUAUAAGACUUAAAAUGAAAAAAAAAUAAAAAAAUGAUGAUGGUAGAGAUUCGUUCUUCUUCUUCUUCUUCCAAAUCAAGGAAUAUUAAAGGUUGAAAAAAUAAUAAUUGCUCUUAAAAUUAAUUAACGUUAAAUUCAAAGACCUCAAGAAUAUAUUAAAUUUGUUACAAAAGAUUAUACAAAUGCCAAAACAAAAACAACGUACAGGAAGAUCACAAUAUUGAUGUUAUUUAACAAAAUUCAUAAUUCAACUUGUGACUCGAUACCUUCCCUCUUUUAGCCUUUAGUAUAUAGUACUAUAUAAUUAAAUUUAAUAAGAUAUCAUUACUAUUUAAUAUUUAGUUAAUUAGACAUUUCAUAAUAUUUUGAUUUAGUAUAGAGACAAAAUGAUAAUCCAACUUUACACUUUGCAACUUCCCACUUUGUAUAUAAUAUGAUUCAUUCUUAUAUGGUAUGUUCGUUCAUUUUAUGUCUGCAUAAGUACACAACUGUUAAAAUGCACUGUAUUUCUGUGGGGCAGAUGUUGAUGUGGGGUCCCUGAAAAUUACAGAACAGAGUUCAUCAUCCCUUCCAGAACGUGUACCUGAUACUGGAAAAAUUGCUGUCGAGUCAAUUACGCUGCUUGCUAAUCAUUUUCCUGUUAGAUUUAAUCCCCAGUCUAUCAUUAUGCAUUAUGAUAUGGAUAUUCAACAUCAGCCGGUAACAGACAAGUCUGAUCUCCGUCAGAUAAGAGAAAAGUGGUUGACGGAUAAGCCUGCUGAAUUUCCCUGUGAUAAAACUGGUAAGAAGAACAUUUUCAGUGCUGUUCAACUUCCUACUGGCUGUUUCACUGUGAACGGGGGGGAUGAUGCUAUGGAACGCUCUUAUGACGUUAUCAUCAAGCCUGUUGCUGAAUUACAACUUUCGAAGCUGAGUGAAUAUUUGAGUGGACAUAUUCCUCGUGAUGUACAAGGGAUGGCGUUGUCCUUAGAUUACUCAGUCUUGGCACUCCCGGAACCAAUGCUAGUGCUAGACUAUCUGAAGGAAUAUCUUAAAGAACCUAACGAAGUUACUUUCAAGAACAACCGUCAAGCUGCACAGGUUGCAUUAAAGGGUUUGAAAGUCGGAGUAAUUCAUCGUCAUACCAACCAGAAGUUUAUUAUUAAGGAACUAACUGACCUCGACACUCAUAAACUCACUUUUCCCCUUAGAGAUCCAAAAGGCAAAGAUUCCACAACCGAAGUUUUUCUUGUUGACUACUUCAGGGAUAAAUAUCAGCGGGAGAUUCAGUUCAGGGAUUUUCCUUCAUUAGUUAUUGGAAAAGGUAAUAAGAUAAACUAUGUCCCCAUGGAAUUAUGUGUCUUGGUUGAGAAACGACGGUAUCCUAAGGAGGAUUUGCAUAAGGAUACAGCCUUGAUUUUGAAGAAUAUAUCACUAGCCCAACCCCAACAGGCAAUAUGUGAAAUGGUACAGGCUAAAGAUGGGCCGUGCGGGUAUGUGAAUUCCUUAAAUAUGUGUUAUUCAUCUGAGAUUUUGUUGCUUCCUCUUGAAUUUCUUCUUUCCCACUCCAUGUGAUCAAAUAUCAUGGAUUUAAUUUCUCUGCCUUUUAUGUGUGGUUUUCUUGGCUUGCAUGUUUGUUGUGGCUUCAUUUAUGGAGUUUCCACUUUUUGUUGAAAUAGUACUUGAGUAGUUUUUCUGAUUUCUGUUGUAUUUUUAAAUGAAAACUUUAUGGGGUUUUGAAUGGUAAUUCUUAGUAAGCUAGCUCAUCCUAUGGCUGUCUUGCUAGUUGAGUCUCUUCUAGAUUUUAAGGGCUUGUUCUUCUUGAUGUUUUCAUUUGAGCAAUGGUCUUUCGGAAUAACCUCUCUAUAUAUCUCCAUUAAUUAGUGGUAAGGUCUGCGUGCAUUCUACCCUCCUUGUGGGAUCUCACUUGGUAUGUUGUUUGCAUCAUGAGUUUGUUGAUGAUAUGCUGAUAUAUGUUAUUAGCAUCUGUUGUUACAGAGUUUCUUUUUUCCUUCUAAUUUUCAAUUGAUUAUUGCAGGGCUAUCACCGGUAAUUUUGAGAUUGGAGUUGAUAGGAACAUGACCUGUGUUCUCGGUCGUAUUCUUCCUCCCCCUGAUUUGAGGCUAGGCAGUCAAAGUCGACAUCAUGUGAAUGAUAAAUGCCAGUCGAAUCUUGUUGGGAAAUCUGUGGUGGAAGGUAAGGAAAUUCGACGAUGGGCUUUGAUAGAUUUUAGCUCUAAGAAUGACAGGGACUUGAAGCGACAAGUUGAUGUAUUUGUUGACAAAUUGAAAGAUCGGUACUUAAGGUUGGGUAUUAAUAUGGAAGAACCUGCUGUAAAACAUUUCACACACAUGAAUGAACUCUCUGCAGUUGGUAAGGUUGAAAAACUCCUCAAUGAUGUAGUUAAUGAAGCUAGCCAGAAAAACAAGGGUAAACUUCAAAUGAUAGUUUGUGUUAUGGCAUCAAAGGAUAAUGGAUACAAAUAUCUUAAAUGGGUCUCUGAGACCAAAAUUGGCAUUGUAACCCAGUGUUGCUUGUCUUCUAAUGCCUACAACAAUGCAAAGGAUCAAUUUCUUGCAAACCUCUGUUUGAAGAUUAACGCAAAACUUGGAGGCAGCAAUAUGGAACUUAUGGAAAGACUCCCUAAUUUCGGAAGUGAAGACAAUGUCAUGUUCAUUGGAGCUGAUGUUAAUCAUCCUACUGGCAAGGAUAGUGACAAAUGUCCAUCCAUAGCAGCUGUUGUUGCCACCGUCAACUGGCCAACUGCUAAUAGAUAUGCCGCUAGAGUUCGUCCUCAGGAACACAGGACUGAUAAGAUUCUAGAGUUUGGAAAAAUGUGUAAAGACCUAGUUGAUACUUAUGCGAAACUCAACUCGGUUAAACCAAACAAAAUUGUUGUUUUCCGUGAUGGUGUGAGUGAGAGUCAGUUUGAUAUGGUACUCAACGAAGAGUUGAAGGAUUUGAAAGAAGCUAUAUACGAAAGUGAUAAGUAUCGACCAUCAAUCACUCUUGUUGUGGCUCAGAAGAGACACCAUACGCGACUAUUUCCUAAGGUGGGAAAUGUGCCUCCGGGAACUGUUGUGGAUACACAGAUCGUUCAUCCAUCUGAUUUUGACUUCUAUCUUUGCAGCCACUUUGGACAGUUGGGUACUAGCAAGGCAACUUACUAUCAUGUUCUACAUGAUGAUAAUGGCUUCAGUUCUGACCGCUUACAAAAGCUUAUAUACAACAUGUGCUUCACUUUUGCGCGGUGCACUAAACCUGUUUCACUUGUUCCACCAGUUUACUAUGCAGACCUUGUUGCUUACAGGGGACGGAUGUUCCAAGAGGUGCUUAUGGAGAUGAACGCUUCUAGCUCUACAACUUCAUCUGUUUCAUUUGAACAAAGUUUCUAUAAAUUGCACAAUGAUUUACAGAACAUAAUGUUUUUCGUCUGAUGGCAG
rnacentral:lncRNA from 1 species